rnacentral:rRNA from 1 species
CAGUAGCCACGGUAAUACAGAGGGUGCAAGCGUUAAUCGGAAUUACUGGGCGUAAAGCGCGCGUAGGUGGUUUGUUAAGUUGGAUGUGAAAGCCCCGGGCUCAACCUGGGAACUGCAUCCAAAACUGGCAAGCUAGAGUACGGUAGAGGGUGGUGGAAUUUCCUGUGUAGCGGUGAAAUGCGUAGAUAUAGGAAGGAACACCAGUGGCGAAGGCGACCACCUGGACUGAUACUGACACUGAGGUGCGAAAGCGUGGGGAGCAAACAGGAUUAGAUACCCCAGUAGUCCCUGUCUCUUAUAC